rnacentral:rRNA from 1 species
AGUCGAGCGGAUGAGAAGAGCUUGCUCUUCGAUUCAGCGGCGGACGGGUGAGUAAUGCCUAGGAAUCUGCCUGGUAGUGGGGGACAACGUUUCGAAAGGAACGCUAAUACCGCAUACGUCCUACGGGAGAAAGCAGGGGACCUUCGGGCCUUGCGCUAUCAGAUGAGCCUAGGUCGGAUUAGCUAGUUGGUGAGGUAAUGGCUCACCAAGGCGACGAUCCGUAACUGGUCUGAGAGGAUGAUCAGUCACACUGGAACUGAGACACGGUCCAGACUCCUACGGGAGGCAGCAGUGGGGAAUAUUGGACAAUGGGCGAAAGCCUGAUCCAGCCAUGCCGCGUGUGUGAAGAAGGUCUUCGGAUUGUAAAGCACUUUAAGUUGGGAGGAAGGGCAUUAACCUAAUACGUUAGUGUUUUGACGUUACGGACAGAAUAAGCACCGGCUAACUCUGUGCCAGCAGCCGCGGUAAUACAGAGGGUGCAAGCGUUAAUCGGAAUUACUGGGCGUAAAGCGCGCGUAGGUGGUUUGUUAAGUUGAAUGUGAAAGCCCCGGGCUCAACCUGGGAACUGCAUCCAAAACUGGCAAGCUAGAGUACGGUAGAGGGUGGUGGAAUUUCCUGUGUAGCGGUGAAAUGCGUAGAUAUAGGAAGGAACACCAGUGGCGAAGGCGACCACCUGGACUGAUACUGACACUGAGGUGCGAAAGCGUGGGGAGCAAACAGGAUUAG